rnacentral:misc_RNA from 1 species
GCCUUGUCAUGUCUUCUUCGCUCCAAAACACAAGGAUAAGUCACGUCCAACAGUACUCAUGUAUGCCCUCUUCUUCUUUUCCUUAAACUCAGCCGACUCCAGCUCCAGAUGGCACGCCUGCUAUUCAACAGCCGCGUCUCGCCCUCUUUUCCCUUUUCUGUCUCUGAGUUUCAGAGCAAAAAUACAACUCUCUAUUAAUUUUUUUUACUGUUUUCUCGAAAAGGAACUAGUUGAUUCAAAAUCCAACGGAUUUUGCCCCCUAGUCGCCCAAGAUUUUUUUGUUUAAAUAGCCCUUUGCACUCAAGUGAUGAGGGAAGGUUUUUGAAUUUGGAUUCUUAGAAGAAAAUUUGAGCUUGGUUUUAAAGCAAUUGUCACUUCUACACUUCAAAUUUUUAUAUCUAACUUCUUAAUUCUAAGUUCCGACAAGAUCGACGCUCGAAUUUUCUUGGCUUACGGUCCGUAUUCGAAAAUCAUGGUAAAAUAAUCACCCCUCUCAAACUCGUUCGUCCCAGUCGCUGCUCAUAGAAAGGUAACCUCUUCAAUUCGUUUAUCUCGACUUUAUAUCUACUAGAUUGUAUAAUCUUUAUUUCUGUUUGGUUGUUGUUGUUCCUAUGAGGAACUUAUUUUUAUGCCAACCAAUAUCCUGUUCUUAUUAGUAGUGUACUAAUGUUCUUGCUAAGGUUCUCGAUGCUAUUCAUAUUCGUUCAAAUAUUAAGUUCUUGCAUAAGUUUCAUGCGCUCUAGUUUUGGUUUAAGCUUUUCAAAGUAGCACUCCUCCCGACUUCAGUUCGAUUUUGUUUUAGAUUAUAAUGAUUUAUUUGUGUUAUUAUGAAGAGUUAUUUUGUGUCUUAACCUGCAAUAUCUUCCGUUGUUG